rnacentral:tRNA from 1 species
AGAAAUUUAGGUUAUCGAAACCAAGGACCUUCAAAGCCCUAAAAGAAAGUAAGAAACUCUCAAUUUCUG